rnacentral:rRNA from 1 species
CUCCCGAAAGGGAGAUUAAUACCGCAUAAGAUUGUAGCUUCGCAUGAAGUAGCAAUUAAAGGAGCAAUCCGCUAUGAGAUGGGCCCGCGGCGCAUUAGCUAGUUGGUGAGGUAACGGCUCACCAAGGCGACGAUGCGUAGCCGACCUGAGAGGGUGAUCGGCCACAUUGGGACUGAGACACGGCCCAGACUCGUGCGGGAGGCAGCAGUGGGGAAUAUUUCAAAGGGGGGGAAACCCUGGUGCAGCAACGCCGCG